GAGGUUACUCUACUCUAAACCCUAACUCACACCUAUAUAGAAGGAUACAUAUUCCCUUGAAAAGGUAUGUCAAAUUCUCAUUAACUCUUGGGAUAUUCGGAAAGAGAUCAAAAUAUUAGCGGAUACUUCUUGACAAUCAAAUAGUUCUAGAAGCUGGAGAUCAAAUUCAUUCCGAGGAGGUCUACAUCAUCCAACAUUUGAGAAAUACGUUGUUUCAGCCCUCAAAUCAUGAAGAUAAUCAGGAGACAAGAAUCAAGAAAGAAACAAAAUUGUACUCACAAUUGAUUAGUAAAAAUAUUUCUCUUAUUUUGU
rnacentral:lncRNA from 1 species